rnacentral:lncRNA from 10 species
CUUAACCCUUGCCUGGCAUGGCCCUAGGUCCUGUUUAUAAUUUGGGGUCUUAUUGCCACAAAGAGUCUGUUCUGUCAGUCUCAUGAUCUCUAUUUUAACGUUAAUGCUGUUCAGUUGUUGGGUCUAAACCAUAAGAGGGAGAGAGGUACAGGGAGUUAUGUCUGACCUCCUGUCCUGUCAUGGCCAAGAACUGAAUUUUAAGAUUUAUUUGAGGUUCCGUUGGCCAACAGGGGGUCUGUUAAGUCGGGUGGGGGGCUUAGGGUUUCAUUUUUAGUUCUCAAGGGAGAUAAAAUAAUUUAAUCAAUUGGCCCCUGUGACUAUUGGACUAACAUGGCUAUGAUCUGUCAGACAGACUUCAGGCUGGCACCCAGGCAAAAUUCUAUACUGUAGUAAAUGCAUCAUGCACAUUUGUAACAACAUGUACAUAACAAUGUCACAAAAUACUUUCACGGUGACACCUAGAUUAGUGUUUUAUUGAAUAGCUGAUGAUAUAAACUGGCUCAUUUGAUGCCAAGACUGACCAUCACCACCAUACCAAGGUCAUCACUGAUCAGAGGCCUAACCCAAGGAGGGGGUCAUGUGCAGACCCAGCUGUGGGGAGGAAAGAUGCUGCAGAGGAGACGGAUGCCCACAGAGGCCCCUGAGUGGAUACAAUGCUCACUAAGUGGGCUGACCCCACAUUGGACACCGCUGCAUCCAUGUCCAUCACACAACACAGCUGCCGUUUCUUCUGCCUGCUUAUGGGAAAGUCCCCUCUUCUCCUCCGUUUUCUUCUCUUCCUGCCCUAUCACACCGUGCACUUCUCCCUUUCCUUAAAGAACCACCAUCAACUUUAGGAGGAGGGAAAGGGGUGGCUCUGGCAGGAAAAGCCAGAAUCCCCUCUAGCCAGCAGAGAGAGAGAGGAAUGGCUGCAUGUUUUCUCCCCCAGUCCAAGGCACUGGGUCUUGGCUGGGUUGAAGGUUCCAAGCUGCUCUCCUGCUGUGUCGGUGAGUUCUGGUCAACCUGCAACCUCCUGAUAUGGCCAUUGCAGUUCAUCGAGUCUUCAGGGACUCCCCAUGGCCUGGAGUACUUUGCCUUGCUUACACGGGAGAGGAGAAUGGAUUUAUAGAGAACAUCAUCUAAAUCCAACUUGACCAUUGUGUGGCCACACUUGCUAGAUUGCUAUAGUCUAAAUCUAGCAUUGUAGAAAGACGGGGGAGCUUGGAGCUGCACAAACCCAGGUCUGGAACUGGCUCCUUACCUUGGAAGGUGAAUGAUCCUGCCAGGACUCUUAGCCUCCCUGGGUCUCAAUUUCUUUAUCUGUUUCAUGGGAAUGAGGAUCUCUGCUGGGUGGUUGGGUGAUGUGGGGGCUGUGUGAAAACAGCUUGUCAAUACAAGCCAAAAUAGAAAUAUUUCUCCACAGAGUAUGAAGGUCAAAUGAGAGAAUACAUUUAAAUUAAAUGGAAAAUUAAAAUGGUAAAAAAUGCAAAGCUGUAUUGAAAGUUCCGAGCUUCUCUAUAAGGAGCUUUUUGACUAUGUAAGAAUCCUGUACUCGUUCCCCCUAAAUAUAAAAAAAAGUUGAAGGAGGCAGAAGGGAGAGUGAUGCACGAUGGGCAAGGACUUCACCUGCUGUUGCUGGCUUUGAGGAUGGAGGAAGGAGGCCACAAACCUAGAAGCUGGAGCCCCUAGAAGCUAGAAAAGGCAGGGACCCGAUUCUUUCCUUGAGCCUCCAGAAGGGACACAGCCCCGCCAGCACCUUGACUUUAGCCUGGUGAGAUCCUCUUAGGACUUUUGGCAAUCAGAACUAUAAGACAGAAAUGGAAGCCACUGAGUCUGUAGCUGUUUGUUGCAGCAGCAAUAGAAAACUAAUGCAGGGCCCAAGAAAUCACUGGUGAUGAGAUCGGGAAAGUGGGCUCAGGAGGUCUGGAUCUGUGAUGAGAUGGGGAAAGUGGGCUCAAGAGGUCUGGAUCUGUGGUGAGAUGGGGGAAGUGGGCUCAGGAGGUCUGGAUCUGUGAUGAGAUGGGGAAAGUGGGCUCAGGAGGUCUGGAUCUGUGAUGAGAUGGGGAAAGUGGGCUCAGGAGGUCUGGAUCUGUGAUGAGAUGGGGGAAGUGGGCUCAGGAGGUCUGGAUCUGUGAUGAGAUGGGGGAAGUGGGCUCAGGAGGUCUGGAUCUGUGAUGAGAUGGGGGAAGUGGGCUCAGGAGGUCUGGAUCUGUGAUGAGAUGGGGAAAGUGGGCUCAGGAGGUCUGGAUCUGUGAUGAGAUGGGGGAAGUGGGCUCAGGAGGUCUGGAUCUGUGAUGAGAUGGGGAAAGUGGGCUCAGGAGGUCUGGAUCUGUGAUGAGAUCGGGAAAGUGGGCUCAAGAGGUCUGGAUCUGUGGUGAGAUGGGGGAAGUGGGCUCAGGAGGUCUGGAUCUGUGAUGAGAUGGGGAAAGUGGGCUCAGGAGGUCUGGAUCUGUGAUGAGAUGGGGAAAGUGGGCUCAGGAGGUCUGGAUCUGGGGUGGGGAUCUGGAGUGGAAGGGGAAUUCAUUUGUUCAUUGUCUAUCCUUUUGUAUUGAUUGAAUUUUUUAUAUAUAUAUGUGAAUUUUCACAAUAAAAUUUUUUUCCAAAAUAAAAUAAACAAAAGGGGCUUUUUGCAACCCAAUUCCUAUCUAUG